rnacentral:rRNA from 1 species
GGUAUACUAGUGAGGCGUCCGGACUGGCCCAGAGAGGUGGGCAACUACCACUCAGGGYCGGAAAGSUCUCCAAACUCGGUCAUUUAGAGGAAGUAAAAGUCGUAACAAGGUCUCCGUUGGUGAACCAGCGGAGGGAUCAUUACCGAGUUUACAACUCCCAAACCCCUGUGAACAUACCAWUUGUUGCCUCGGCGGAUCAGCCCGCUCCCGGUAAAACGGGACGGCCCGCCAGAGGACCCCUAAACUCUGUUUCUAUAUGUAACUUCUGAGUAAAACCAUAAAUAAAUCAAAACUUUCAACAACGGAUCUCUUGGUUCUGGCAUCGAUGAAGAACGCAGCAAAAUGCGAUAAGUAAUGUGAAUUGCARAAUUCAGUGAAUCAUCGAAUCUUUGAACGCACAUUGCGCCCGCCAGUAUUCUGGCGGGCAUGCCUGUUCGAGCGUCAUUUCAACCCWCAAGCCCUCGGGUUUGGUGUUGGGGAUCGGCGAGCCCUUGCGGCAAGCCGGCCCCGAAAUCUAGUGGCGGUCUCGCUGCAGCUUCCAUUGCGUAGUAGUAAAACCCUCGCAACUGGUACGCGGCGCGGCCAAGCCGUUAAACCCCCAACUUCUGAAUGUUGACCUCGGAUCAGGUAGGAAUACCMGUAAACUUWAAGCAA